GAUGCUUAACCUACUGAGCCACCAAGGUGCCCCUCUAUAUUUUUAAAAUUAUGCUUUUUACCCAAUGGGUUUUUUUUUUGAGAAAAUGCUAACAAAAUAAGAUUUAUAAUAUCACUCAGUUUUCUAUGUGCUUAAACAACAAUUGAUGUAUCUCUCCAUUUUAUAGUCUUUUCUGCUACCCACAUUGUUUUUCGUUUCAUUUUUAAUAAUCCCUUUCUCUGCAUACUUUAGAUUAAGACCAGCAAACUUUUUCUGUAAAGGGCAUAUAGUAAAGGGCUGUGUGACUUUGCAGGCCAAAUGGCUUCUUUCACAGCUACUCAGCUCUGCCCUUGAAGCACAAAAAGAAACAUAGACAACUCAGAAAUGAAUGAGCACAGCUAUGUUCCAGUAACCAGCUUAUUUACCAAAACAGAUGGUGGGCUGAAAUUGGCCACUAGACUGAAGUUUGCCAAUCCCCGCUUUAUUUUAGAUAUUCUUUUUGUAACUUCUUAAAUGAAAUUUAAAAUUUUUACUCUUUUUCUGUAAUCUUUAAAACACAUAGAGACAUUUAUUUUCCUCUGAGUAGAGUCUUGGAAAUCUCUCAUAAAUUUUGAUAUGUAAAGUUCGCACUGCUGACAUUUUCCUGCAUAUUAUAUAAUUUACAUUUAUAUUUUCUUGUGGUCUAAGAAUUAUUUAGAAAAGUUGUCCGUUUAACUUUUAAAUGCUAGAAAAUGAAAAAGGCUUUGAAAAUAGGGUCAUGCAUAAAAAUAAAUAAGCACAACUAAGUGGCAUUUUAGGGCGGGCAACGGCACAUGUCAUUCAGGGCAAAUGCGACAGGCUCAGGGAUUUCACUCAUUGUCUUGUGCUGCCGGAGCUAGAGCUAUUUGGAUACAUAGUGGCCAAAAAGAAUUCCGGUGUAGAUGUUAUUAACUACCUAAAAAAGUACUGGAUGAUGCCAGUGGGGUGGCCACAGAGAAUGGUUUUAGAUUAAGAAAUUCUCUGCAAGAAUAUGCAAAGAAAUGCUCCUGGAAAUAGAGAGUCAUAACAUAAUUCUGCAAAACGCAGAAGACAGUCAGGCUAUUGCGUCUUGUUAAUUUUAUUUUGCUAUUCUUUUCUUGUAUUAUGGUCAGAGAAUGUAUCCACUACAAUGGCAGCAUUUUGCAAGGUUUUGGACUGUCCAAAACCCUUAGCUUAGUACGCAACCAGUUCUUUGCAAGUGUUUUAUGAGUGUUGGGAAAGAAAUGCUAAAUCUCUGUAGGACAUUGAUGUAUUAAUGAAUUUAUUUAUGUGUUAUGGAUACCUCCAGGAUGAUACAAAAUGUAUUCGUCUUCCAUUAUAUUCUUUUCAACUUCUUUUGGAUUUCUACCAUCUGCACAUUUUGGCUAUUUUACCUCUUUUGCUAUUGGUUACUGUCAUGCGAAGAACACAGCUUUUAAAAUUUUCUUUGAAUAUUGUCCCUUUCAUCAAUAAUACGGUGUUGCGGGUGCAUUUAAUAUGUUUGGCAUUGAAUUUUAUCUUGUUUGGCAUUGAUGUUGCCACCUUUACUUUCUUUUCAUUUCAAUGAGUGUUGUCUAUCUUUGCCCAUCUUUUGCUUUUAACUUUUGUGAAGAUGUUUUGAGUGUAUAAUCUUCCUUUUCUUUUAGAUGGCGCAGUUUUAUAAUCUUUUCUUUCGGUAAAAAAAAAUGUUGAUGUGAGUUUUUCCCCUUAAUUAAACUAAUUUCCUACUGUUACACUUAUUUGGCCAUUUUAAUCAAGAAUUGAGGAGAGAAAUAGACACCAGCACUCAUGUGAACAUGUUACCUUGAAUUUAACCGAUAAUCUCUUUUUCUACCAUAAAACGCAUGCAGGUUUUACGGACUCAAUCUUUUAUUUUAACUUCUGAUUGGAAAUUCUCAGACAAAAAUCUCAUCAUUGGUUUUUGAUGAAUCACUCAAGCAAGAUUUACAUACAGAAGCCUAAUAAUGGCUGGUUGUCAGUGAAUCAGGUUUAUGCAUUGUGUGGUCUUUAACAUCUCUGAGUAGGUUAUUAAUAAACAGUUAUGGGGGUGGAUAUAAAAGCACUGGAUAUCUUACAAUUUUUUCCCCAAAUCUUGAAAAUGCUGGCCUCCAUCAAGUAUACUCCAUCAAGUUGCAUAUGUUUCUGCUACCAAGAGCAUACAAUGGGACAAGAGAGCAAAUCAGAGGUGUGAAGGAAAGCAAGUGGUUUUCUUUAAAAACAUGAAAUAUCAAGACCCCCGGGAAACACUAGGAUAGACAAGAGAAAAUAAAUCCAGAUUUUUUUUUUCUUUUCAUUCAUAUCAAACGUAAAGGAAAUUGUUGGCUUCUCCCUCCUCCAUGGUAUAUAUUUUCACUUAAUUAUUUUCUGUAACAGGGACCCAGACUGAGCCACCCUCUGGGAACUGUCCAUCUGCUCAGAAAUUCACAAAGCAAGCCCCAUGAAGGUUAGUUGUUAAAAGCUUUAUGGAUAAGAACUGAGAUGGUUUCUGGUAGUAAACUCUAUGGCCAUAUCAUCGAUUUAGUGGCUCUAUUCUCGAAUUCUAUGCGAGUUGAAUUAUGGAGACUGAACUUGUUCUGCCUCUGCCAGACCAUAUUCCUCUAACCUUUCUGAACAUGAUGAUGUCUAGCUCCCACAUUACAAUCUCAGGAGACUGUUUUUUCCUAAGUGUGUACCUAAUUCUUAUAGGAGCUCAAAAGAUUAAAAAAAAAAUGUGAGCAGAAAGAGAGUAGUUCAGAGCUAUAGCCACAAUUCAAAAUAGGGAAAAUUUGUCAAUUUACUGUGUUCUUUUAUGACUUUCUGCUAUCAGGCUAUUUCCAUCAUAAAAAAAAAGAAAGAAAGAAAGAAAGAAAGAAAGAAAGAAAGCUCCCAGAUGCAUAAAGUGAAUGUCACUAAGGCACACUAUCUCAAGGUACUAUAGUGCUGAAGAGCUCUGGAAUUCCUGAAGAGAUUGUGCACACCCUGGAGGUUACAAGGACAGUUUUAUAUGCAGAACGGAGUGUAAGCAAGAAUUGUAAAGAUUAGGAAAGGGGAAAGCUCCAGGAUAAACUGGCCCUCUGACAUCUGUAGAAACUUUAAUAGGGUUGCCUACUUUCAGAAAACCUUCCACAAAAACAUAGAAAUUUAGUAUGGAAAAAAUCAAGUAGUUUAUUCCCUCACAUAUACAAUCAUUAAAAGGAAACAGGUGUAGAAAUGGUAGAUUACCUACCCUGAAAAUAUUUUAUGCCAGAACUAGGACCAGACUUGAGUAAUCUGCCUGCCAAUCCUUUAAAUUUAGUAGUUUAAAAAAAAUAAUAAUGCAUUAAUUGCUAAAAAUUUUACAAGACAUUUUGCAAAUUUCGAUUAGGCAAAAAAUCCACAAGAGUGUUAUCCCAUGAGUACUCCAAUCUAACCUGUUCAUCAUGCACUUUGGCCUUUCUAAAACGACCUUUGCUGUUUCUUUUCUUUUUUUUUUUUAAUAUGAAACUUAUUGUCAAAUUGGUUUCCAUGCAACACCCAGUGCUCAUCGCAACAGAUGCCCUCCUCAAUACCCAUCACCUUUGCUUGAGAUAUUGCUUACUGCUUUCCUAGGUUCAUAAUCUUUCACUUCAGAUACAUUUUCUUCUUUUAUAUUAAAGUCUUUUAAAUGUUUUAUGUA